AGCUUGGAGAAGAUUAUUUGCAUUCCGGCAGCUAUGCUGGAGUUUGUACCAGCAAGGAAGAGCUUCUGGGAUUUCUCAAAAUUUAUGUUGCAGCUAUGGACAUUCCUGACUUACCUCCUCCUGAUGCAGCAAUUUCCAGCUUGUCUUCUCCACUAACCAAGGAAAAUGCAUUGCUGAUGCUAGCGUGGAUUCGUAAAAUGAAAAUGAAUGGGUUUUCCUUGCCUAGAAGAUUCUUAACCUGCAUAAGGGAGGGAAGCUGGUUGAGGGUGUCUCUGAGUGGUUGCCUUGGCUACAGGCCUCCAUCAAAAUCAUUCUUCCAUACUUCAUCAUGGGGACAUCUUUUGCAGAAUGGAUCUGUUCUUGUAGAUAUUCCAUUAGUUGAUCAGGGAUUUUAUGGCAGUGAAUUAAAACAGUACAAGGAUGAGUUAAGUGCAGCUGGUGUCAUGUUUGAAUUCAAAGAGGCAUGUACAUAUAUUGGAGAACAUUUUAUGUCUCUGGCAACUUAUUCUACAUUAACCAAAGGCCAAGUGAUGUCAAUACUCAAUUUCAUCAAGUAUUUGAGGGAGAAAUAUCUCUCCCCAGACACCUUCAUCAAUAGCAUUAAUGAUAGAAGGUGGUUGCGGACUACUCAAGGUGAGAAGACCCCUCUGGAAUCUGUUUUCUUUGACAGUGAGUGGAAUGCUGCCUCACAGAUCAGUGACAUCCCAUUCAUUGACCAAAAACAUUAUGGUGAUGAGAUUCUUUCUUUUAGAACAGAAUUGGAGCUGCUUGGAAUGGUUUUUGGUUUCAGGCAAAAUUACCAGCUUGUUGUUGACAACCUGAGGUCUCCAGCACGCCUGGGGUGCCUGAGUUCUGAUCCUUUGCUCUUGAUACUUAAGUGCAUUAACCAUCUGAGGUCAUCUGACAAAAUAUGCAGGGCACUUAGGGAUAGCAAAUGUAUGAAGACCAUAAACAUGGGGUGUAAAUCUCCAGCUGAGUGUUUUUUGCUUGAUCCUGUGUGGGGCUGCCUGCUGCAGGUUUUUGGCAGUUUUCCUCUUAUUGAUACAAAGUUCUAUGGAAGCGAUAUCUUGUCAUAUAAAAGCGAGUUGCAGAAACUAGGGGUGGUUGUUAAUUUUGAGGGGGCAACUCAAGCUUUUGCUUCUGUUUUUAAGCAGCAGACAGCAAAGGGUGCCUUGAACAAGGAUAGUGCCCUUUCUCUUCUUGCAUGCUGCAGAAAGUUGAAGACAGCCAGAAUUAAGUUUCCUUCAGAUCUUAUGAGCUGCUUUCAAAAGGUCAAGUGGUUGCGAACUCGAAUUGGUGUUGAUAAAGUACCUGAAGAUUGUAUACUCUUUGGUUCAGACUGGGAAUCUAUCUCUUCAAUCUCUUUGUUGCCUUUCGUUGAUGAUAGUGAGGCUCGGUAUGGAAGGGACAUUCAUGAGUACAAGGAUGAACUUAAGAGUAUGGGAGUUACCGUGACAUUUGAAAGGGGGGUAAAGUUUGUGCCUGCAAGCCUUCGAUUACCUGAAGGCCCUGGCGUCAUUACUGUUCAAGUCGCAUUCUCGUUGUUAGACUGCUUGAGGAAGUUGGAGACGGAGCAUAAUGAUCAGAUUGCUACGUUGCGGUCCAAACUUGCUAGAAAAUGGAUGAAGACUAAUGCUGGUUUCAGGUCUCCAGAUAAGUGUUUGUUGUUUGGUCCCCAGUGGAAUCCUCUCUUACAGCCAGAAGAUGGUCCUUUCAUCGAUGAAAAUUUUUAUGGAUCCAAAAUAGGGUCGUAUAAGAAAGAGCUCAAGUCUCUUGGUGUUGUGGUUGAAAUUGGAGAGGGAUGCUCAUUGCUUGCCGAUUACCUUGAUUGCCACUCCAGCAGCGUCACUAUCACUCGGAUUUACAAGUACUUGAGUAAGUUCAACUGGGAACCAACUAAAGAAGAUCCUAGAAACAUAUGGAUUCCAAAUGGUGAUAACGAUGGAGAGUGGGUGAAUCCUGAUAAUUGUGUUCUGCACGGCAAAAGUGGUUUCUUUGGCUUGCAGCUCCAUGUUUUGAGAGUGGGUGAAUCCUGAUGAUUGUGUUCUGCACGACAAAAGUGGUUUCUUUGGCCUGCAGCUGCAUGUUUUAGAAAAGCACUAUGACAAAGAACUGAUCAGUUUCUUCUCCAAAUUAGGUGUCAAAAGCAAUCCUUCUCUUGAUGAUUUUCUCAAGCUUUGGAAGUCAUGGGAAGACGCGGACCGCAGUUUGUCACUAUCAGAGUGUCAAACCUUCUGGGAGUUCAUUGUGAAGCGUGGGAAGACGCGGAUCGCAGUUUGUCACAAUCAGAGUGUCAAACCUUCUGGGAGUUCAUUGUGAAGCACUGGAGCUUAAGAACCGAGAAAUUUCUAUCUGAGAACUUGUCAAAACUUCCUGUGGGUUCAGGCUCGAACGAAAUUUUGCUGCUUGAUAAACGUGAUGUUUUUAUUGCUGAUGAUCUCUAUCUGAAGGAUUUAUUUGAACAGUCUUCUUCUCAUCCCUUGUUCGUUUGGUAUCCACAACCAAGCUUGCCAUCUUUGCCUCGGCAGAAGCUGCUUGAAAUUUAUGGCAAAAUUGGUGUUCGUAAUUUGUCUGAAUCUGUUCUGAAAAAUGGCUUGUCUUCUGUUAAUUGUGUUGGAGUUGAGCAGGUGCAGCCAAAGGAAAUCUUCAUUGGAAAGGGUUUGAUUAAGUUAAUCCUUGGCUUCCUUGCUGAUCCUUCACUUCAAAUGGAAGCGCGUACGAGAUAUGAAGCUCUCAAAAGCCUCGUGGAUGUUAGUAUUUGUGCAACACUGGAACCAAUAACCAUGGAUUACUGUCUGUCACUUUCUUCUGGUGAUGUCCUGAACGUGAAAGUGAGCCGAAUGAUGUGCUGGGAUAGAGAAAAUGCAAAGAUUUUUAUACAGAAGCUGGACAAAUCAGGUGGUUACAGAUGUAAGCUUAAGUUUACUACAUAUUUCUCAGAAAUAGUUGCCGAGGGAAUUCUAAAUAUUUAUUUAAUCUUAAUAAGAUAUAAUUUUAUAAAGUAUUUAUAAAAAUUAAUAUAAAAUAUGAGAUGUUUCCAUGACAUUAUCCUAAAAUAUUCAACAAUAAAGACAAUAAAUUAUAUGGCGACUCAGACCAUUUUGGAGGAUGAAGAAUUCCUUUCUGCUGCCCUCACUUCCGAAUAGGUAUUUAUGCACACUAAAUCCACCAUCCCCAUUAUGCACCCCCUUAGUGUCUUUGUAAAAUUUUCAUUUUUCUUUUUGGUAAUUUCCUGAAAUAUACUACUUUUGACAUGUUUUGGUAUCGAGGUGGAUGAUGGAUUGUCUUGCUUUGCAACAUAUAUCUAGUUUACUGAUGGUUCUGGAUGUCUUUUGUUGGUGAUGUAUCAUUAACUGAAAGGAGCUCUGCAAUUUAUUCCGGCUCUCUAUUUUCUGAUAUCACCUUUUGAAUUAUUAUUCUGAGCCGAGAGUCUAAUGGAAGCAAUCUCUGUACCUUCAGUAGGUAGGGGUAAGGUCUGCGCACACACUACCCUCCCCAGACCCCACAUGUGGGUAGUGGCGGAUCUAAGAAUUCAAGUUUGUGGGUGCUGAAUUUUGUUUGUACAUAAAAUUAAUGGGUGCUUUUGUAAAUUUUUAUACUUUUUCUCAAAUUUUCUAUAUAACUAUACAUACUCUGCGUCAAGGUUAAUGGGUGCUCGAGCACCCAAUUUUCAUAAGUACAUCCGCCACUGCAUGUGGGAAUAUACUGGGUAGUUGUUGUUGCCUUUUGAAUUAUUAUGCUUUCCCGAAUUCCAACAGAGAUAUCAUAGAGUUCAUAUGACAAUUUGUUGUGUGACAUUAUUUUUCUAAACAACAAAUGGAGGGGGUUUGGCAGGAUAUUGCUUCUCAGCAGAGUUAAAUGCAUCACCCCUUUUACAGGUACCACAGGUGGAUUCCCUUAUAUUCAGGCCAUUUAUUAGUUAUAUUGUUAAGAUUGGUGGAGGGGACCAAUCUAUGAAGAAAAAGGGUGUACCCGUUUACACUUAAACUUGUCGAAGAAAUUCUGAAAGUUGUCUUAAACGAUGUUAAAACUUGAUCAUCUACUUAACUCUCACUUCCUGAUGCAUUCUCUCUUUUAAACUGCCUAAGACCAGGCCAUCAAACUACUUUAUGGUAUAGUUAUUUGAGAUGGUUACUAAUCUAUUCAUCGUUGGACAUACAACAAAGGAUUAACUAACGUGAAAUGUUCUAUUUGUGCAGGCAGGAAGACAUGGUUGUGAAUGGUUAGGGAGAACUUUACGGUUGGGUGAGGCCCUCUAGAGAUGCCUAAUGGAAUUUCUGGUGUUCUCUGGUCUUGUGAGAAGUCUCUUGCAUGAAGAUUUAGCUUUUGUUAUGAAUCCCUGAUAGUUCUUAAUGCCCUCUGUUUCCUUAGUUUGCCGCUCUAAGGUUUUCUAUGCAAUUUACUAAAUUUGCACUUAGAGAUACAGUCGCUGAAAAGCUUUUAUUAUUCCUCUUUUCCAAGUUUUUAAGAUUGGUCCUUCUUCCAUCUUCGUCCAGUUCUAUAUGCUCUCUUUAUUUUGCAUGCUUAUCUACCAUAAUGUGUUUUGUGCGCGCUCAUGCGCAUAUAGAGAAGGCAUUUAUCAAUUGGUCUUUAGCAACAAAUUGUAACUUGGAAUCCCUUGCUUGGAAUCAAUUGGUCUUUGCGUUUUGUUUUAUCUAUUUGCUAGCUUCAUGCUCCACGCUAUUGACGAUCUGAGAAGAGUUGCAUUGAAAUGUUUACUAUUUUAUCUUGGCACUUAAAUGUCUAGCGUUACUUCUUUUGUGGUGAUUAGUGGGCACCUGUGUGGCCAUUCAGUUUGAAUAUGUUGUUCUGCUAAAACUUUUGUUGCACAUUAAAUGUACCAACCAAUUCAGUCACAUACCUCUUCAUGUGUUUGUCAAUGUUCUCAUCUAGUAAGUACUAAUAAAAAAAUAUUAUCAUUGGCGGCCAGGCGUUGAAGGAAAAAAAUGAAUAAAUUAUAAUACAGAUAGUUGUAAUAAUUUAAAAUAAAAAUAAAUAUUACUCAACUAAAGUUAAUUAUAGAGUUCGGGCACAUGCGGAGGGAAGUCUGGAUGCUCCGGUGAGCAGGUGUGAGCUGCUGCCUUUAGUGGGUUCGAGAAGGGGUAGAGGACGACCUAAGAAGUAAUGGGGAGAUGUGAUCAAACAGGACCUGUCACAAUUGUAAAUUUCGAGGACAUGACCCUUGAUAGGAAGGUUUGGAGGUCGAGCAUUAGGGUGAUAGGAUAGGGUGGUAGUCGAGCUUCCUCCUCCAUUCCAGGGGUGAAGGGAGUUUGAGUAGGUUGGUCCUAGACAGGCUUGUGGUUAAUGUAGAGUUCACACUAACCUUACUAUUUUCUAUAGCUCUAGACCUUAGUUGUGGAUUAUGGUUAUUGCACGUCAUCUAUUUUAUGGUUUUUAGGAUGCUGUCAUUAUAUCCAUGGUUAUGUUGACGUUACUGCUGAAUUGUCUUUUCUUGUAUUCUUGUUUAUUUUCAUCUUCCUGAGCCGAGGGUCUAUCGGAAACAGCUUCUCUGCCCUAUUGGGGUAGAUGUAAGGUUUGCGUGCACACUACCCUUCCCACACCCAACUUAGUGGAACUUUACUGGGUCGUAGUUGCUGUUGUUGUAAAGUUAAUUAUAGAAUUUUGUAAAUGUAAAUGUUGUGCAAUUAUUAUUUUGAUGCACAUAAAUAAAUAUUUCAUUAGUAAGCGUGGAGUAAUAUUUUCAGAAAAGGCACCCCACAACCAUUAUAUUUUAUCAGUUUAUUUGUAGUUAGAGUUAUCUUGUGUUACUAUAACAGAUUGUAGUGAUUUCAUCAAAUGUUCGAUGAACUGAUCUGAUGAUACGGCCAGUCGUUUUAAGAAUCUACAUUUCUAUUAUAUAUUAACUGUUUUCCCCGUAUUUAUUUAUGCUAUUUUGAUUUGUCGGGAUAUUCGUAUUGGAGUUUCGAAAAGUUUUGGGACACUUAGUCCCUAAAUGAGAGCUUAAGUAUUAGACACCUUGUCUUCUCCACUAACCAAGGAAAAUGCAUUGCUGAUGCUAGCAUGGAUUCGUAAAAUGAAAAUGAAUGGGUUUUCCUUGCCUAGAAGAUUCUUAACCUGCAUAAGGGAGGGAAGCUGGUUGAGGGUAUCUCUGAGUGGUUGCCUUGGCUACAGGCCUCCAUCAAAAU
rnacentral:lncRNA from 1 species